rnacentral:misc_RNA from 1 species
UCCAAUUUUACUUUGCUGGCAAAGGAACAACAAGGAUUCCUGAUAGAGGGGUUUAUGGCCCCAUCAUAUCAGCCAUCUCUGUAUCUUCUGAUCUGAAACUUUGUUCAAGUGUUCGAAAGAAGGAAGCUGUUCACAUUGUGGUUGGAGUUGUUGGAGGAGCAUCAUGCCUGAUUUUCAUUGUACUGGGAAUUCUUUGGUGGCGAGGCUAUUUACCAGGAAAAUGGGGCAAAAGAAAAGGACAUGAUUUGCCAACAGGGACCUUUUCGUUGAAACAAAUCAUAG